GGUGAGCAGUCAGCUCCCAGGCCUGGAGGUUUGGGGUGCAAUUGGGACGUUCUCCCAGAGCCCCCAUGAUGGUGGUUCCCUGGCUCCGGGGAGGAGGUGUGGGCACAGAGCCCUCCUGGUCUGUACAGCUGCAGGAACCUUAAAUGCGUGUGCACAUUUAAGCCACCUUUAAAUGCACUCUGUGACUAGGGCCAUGGUCGGGUGAGGUUCACGUUACACAGCUUGUGCUCGGCUCUGCCAGCCUGAGUGGACAGCAGCGAUGCCCCAGCACCACAGCGAACAGGCACAAGCCCUCAGGACCACAAUGAUGGGCUCAAGACGAUGUCUCCUGGAGCCCUGCGUGUCUCUCCAGGCUCUGCUCACCCUAAACAGCCUCACCUGGGCUUGCUGCCACCCACCCACCUCCAACCCUUGGCCUGGGGCUGUAUUUAAGCUCCCAGCUCUGCUCCUUGCCCUGGUUGGGUUGUGCUUGGUUGUGCUUUGUGGUUGCCUCUGGAGCUGCCUCCUCACUGUGAGGGGUGUUCCUGAGGACUGUCACCAGCCCAGAACCAGCCCUGCUUGGCUCCUGCCUUCCUGCAGCUGCUCCUUGGUGUUUCGUCCCCAGUCAUGA
rnacentral:lncRNA from 1 species